UAGUAAUGACCUGUGAAACAGCCGGAGAAAAUUAUAUCCCCUUUCUUAUUUUAAAACCUGGGAACACUCGCAUGGAAUGGAACUAAAAAUUUUUUCAAAAAAAGAGACCGGCUAUGCUUUCAUGACUUCUUACUCUUAUGUAAUAUUCUAGCAGAUAACUAGUAUUAUAUAUUCGCUCUGAGCAUAUUGCAAAAGUCUCAGCAGUUUCUACCAAAAGGAGUCGCGACAGUCAAUAUCCAUUACAACGUCUUAUACUGGAACUUUCUUUUUCAGUUUCUCUUAUCAAGAGGAACUUACUUUCAUGAUGGGUGUUUCACACAUGUUGAACCUGG
rnacentral:lncRNA from 1 species